AUGUAAACUCACUGAGCAGGGCCCUCAAUCCCUCUGUUACUGUGUCACUAUACCCCACUCCCUCUAACAUGUAAACUCACUGAGCAGGCCCUCAAUCCCUCUGUUACAGUGUCACUAUACCCCACUCCCUCUAACAUGUAAACUCACUGAGCAGGGCCUUAAUCCCUCUGUUACUGUGUCACUAUACCCCACUCCCUCUAACAUGUAAACUCACUGAGCAGGGUUCUCAAU